ACGAACGCUGGCGGCGCGCCUAACACAUGCAAGUCGAACGGAGUUAUUUUCUUCACUCCGAGCUUUUUGCCAGUUAGCCGGAGCGGCAAUCGGUUUUGCCCAGCAUAAAAAGCAAAACCGAUUUAGGCUCAUAAAGUAAGGCUAACACAGAGGGCAGAGAGUUGGGAGUGAAGAAAAUAACUUAGUGGCGAACGGGUGAGUAACGCGUGAGUAACCUGCCCUGGAGUGGGGGACAACAGUUGGAAACGACUGCUAAUACCGCAUAAGCCCACGAUCCGGCAUCGGAUUGAGGGAAAAGGAUUUAUUCGCUUCAGGAUGGACUCGCGUCCAAUUAGCUAGUUGGUGAGGUAACGGCCCACCAAGGCGACGAUUGGUAGCCGGACUGAGAGGUUGAACGGCCACAUUGGGACUGAGACACGGCCCAGACUCCUACGGGAGGCAGCAGUGGGGGAUAUUGCACAAUGGGGGAAACCCUGAUGCAGCGACGCCGCGUGGAGGAAGAAGGUUUUCGGAUUGUAAACUCCUGUCGUUAGGGACGAUAAUGACGGUACCUAACAAGAAAGCACCGGCUAACUACGUGCCAGCAGCCGCGGUAAAACGUAGGGUGCAAGCGUUGUCCGGAAUUACUGGGUGUAAAGGGAGCGCAGGCGGACCGGCAAGUUGGAAGUGAAAACUAUGGGCUCAACCCAUAAAUUGCUUUCAAAACUGCUGGCCUUGAGUAGUGCAGAGGUAGGUGGAAUUCCCGGUGUAGCGGUGGAAUGCGUAGAUAUCGGGAGGAACACCAGUGGCGAAGGCGACCUACUGGGCACCAACUGACGCUGAGGCUCGAAAGCAUGGGUAGCAAACAGGAUUAGAUACCCUGGUAGUCCAUGCCGUAAACGAUGAUUACUAGGUGUUGGAGGAUUGACCCCUUCAGUGCCGCAGUUAACACAAUAAGUAAUCCACCUGGGGAGUACGACCGCAAGGUUGAAACUCAAAGGAAUUGACGGGGGCCCGCACAAGCAGUGGAGUAUGUGGUUUAAUUCGAAGCAACGCGAAGAACCUUACCAGGUCUUGACAUCCGAUGCAUAGCGCAGAGAUGCGUGAAGUCCUUCGGGACAUCGAGACAGGUGGUGCAUGGUUGUCGUCAGCUCGUGUCGUGAGAUGUUGGGUUAAGUCCCGCAACGAGCGCAACCCUUAUUGCCAGUUACUACGAAAGAGGACUCUGGCGAGACUGCCGUUGACAAAACGGAGGAAGGUGGGGAUGACGUCAAAUCAUCAUGCCCUUUAUGACCUGGGCUACACACGUACUACAAUGGCGUUUAACAAAGAGAAGCAAGACCGCGAGGUGGAGCAAACCCCUAAAAGCCGUCCCAGUUCGGAUUGCAGGCUGCAACCCGCCUGCAUGAAGCCGGAAUUGCUAGUAAUCGCGGAUCAGCAUGCCGCGGUGAAUACGUUCCCGGGCCUUGUACACACCGCCCGUCACACCAUGGGAGUGGGUUGCAAAAGAAGUAGGUAGCUUAACCUUCGGGAGGGCGCUGCCGAAGGCGGGACCGAUAACUGGGGUG
rnacentral:rRNA from 1 species